GAUUCUCGGCAAUGGAUAUCCCGGCUCGUAUCGAUGAAGAACGUAGUGAAAUGUUAUACUUGGUGUGAAUUGCAUAAUCCCGUGAACCAUCGAGUCUUUGAACGCAAGUAGCGCCCGAAGCCAUUUGGCUGAGGGCACAUCUACCAGGGCAUCA